GACGAACGCUGGCGGCGUGCUUAACACAUGCAAGUCGAACGUGAUUUUUGUGGAAAGCCCUUCGGGGACGGAAAUGAAAUGAAAGUGGCGAACGGGUGAGUAACACGUGAGCAACCUACCUUACACAGGGGGAUAGCCGUUGGAAACGACGAUUAAUACCGUAUGAGACCACAAAGCCACAUGGCUUAGGGGUAAAAGAUUUAUCGGUGUAAGAUGGGCUCGCGUCUGAUUAGCUAGUUGGAAGGGUAAAGGCCUACCAAGGCAACGAUCAGUAGCCGGUCUGAGAGGAUGAACGGCCACAUUGGAACUGAGACACGGUCCAAACUCCUACGGGAGGCAGCAGUGGGGAAUAUUGCACAAUGGGGGGAACCCUGAUGCAGCGACGCCGCGUGAGCGAAGAAGGUUUUCGAAUCGUAAAGCUCUGUCCUAUGAGAAGAUAAUGACGGUAUCAUAGGAGGAAGCCCCGGCUAAAUACGUGCCAGCAGCCGCGGUAAUACGUAUGGGGCGAGCGUUGUCCGGAAUUAUUGGGCGUAAAGGGUACGUAGGCGGCCUUUUAAGUCAGGUGUGAAAGCGUGAGGCUUAACCUCAUUAAGCACUUGAAACUGGAAGGCUUGAGUGAAGGAGAGGAAAGUGGAAUUCCUAGUGUAGCGGUGAAAUGCGUAGAUAUUAGGAGGAAUACCGGUGGCGAAGGCGACUUUCUGGACUUUUACUGACGCUCAGGUACGAAGGCGUGGGGAGCAAACAGG
rnacentral:rRNA from 1 species